UACGAAGGGGGCUAGCGUUGCUCGGAAUUACUGGGCGUAAAGGGCGCGUAGGCGGACAGUUUAGUCAGAGGUGAAAGCCCAGGGCUCAACCUUGGAAUUGCCUUCGAUACUGGAGAUCUUGAGACCGGAAGAGGUAAGUGGAACUGCGAGUGUAGAGGUGAAAUUCGUAGAUAUUCGCAAGAACACCAGUGGCGAAGGCGGCUUACUGGUCCGGUUCUGACGCUGAGGCGCGGAAGCGUGGGGAGCAAACAGG
rnacentral:rRNA from 1 species